rnacentral:rRNA from 1 species
UACAGAGGUGGCAAGCGUUGUUCGGAAUCAUUGGGCGUAAAGGGCGUGUAGGUGGUUCUGUAUGUCUACCGUGAAAGCGUACGGCUCAACCGUAUUUAGUCGGUAGAAACUGCAGGACUUGAGGCUGGGAGGGGCUGGUGGAAUUCCCCGUGUAGCGGUGAAAUGCGUAGAGAUGGGGGAGAACACUCGUGGCGAAGGCGGCCAGCUAGACCAGUUCUGACACUGAGGCGCGAUAGCGUGGGGAGCAAACAGG